UGUAGGAUAGAAGGGUUGUUUCCAAGAACAUAAAACUCACAAAAGUGCAUGUAUGAAUGUAUUUUGAAUGAUUACAAUUUGACAUGCAUCUCAUAGUACUGACUUUUGACCCUUAUCUAAUAAUUGUCCCCCCUUAGACUAAUCCAUAUCAAGCAUUAUUUCUCUAUCUCAGUGAACAUAAAUGGUUGGCGUGGUGCUUCUCAGAUCCUCCCAUCCAAUAAGUUUAGCAAUUUUUACAUACCACUGUUAUUAGUGCAGAAUACAUAUAAUAUGAAAGUUCUCAUUCAAAUUAGCGAAAUAUGCUUACCAGGUGUUAUGAUUUCUAGAUAUGUACCACAAUUUUCUCAGUAAGACUUUCCACUUUCCUUUUGUAGUUAGUUUGUGUCAAUCAGAAUUGGAAAACAAAAGCAUAAAAAAUCACCCAAAAACUUAAAAGUUAGCAUCCCGAAGAAGUUGAUAGACUAAUAAUUCAGAUAUGAUGAUUCUAUUAUAACUGAUAUGACUCCAUUGUUAGAAAAGCACUACAGGUCUGAGAGUCUCGUUUUCCUCAAGAACUGGUGAUAUCAUAUCAUAGAAGAAGUUUGAUCCAUCGCCUGACUUGUCUGAUUUUUUUGCCUCAUUCCAGUAAGUUCUUGUAAUGCUCUCCUUCUGUAAAAUAUUUCUACGCUCCUUGUUUAUUGCUAUCCAUCUCAAUCAUUUUUGGUAUACUUUCUUCUCUUCCAUAUGUGGAGUUAGUCAAGUAAAAUUGUUAUGUUAUAUUGGUGUAAACAUGAGUCACAAUUCAUUUGGAUAAAUAAUAGAAGAUAUUUAGAUUUAUUUAGUACGACUCGAAAUCUUGAUCAAUCGGUAUAUAGAUUUUACCAUAAAUGAUUUAUUUUGUCUUUACUGUUUAUUAAGGCUCAAAUAUAUCCGGUGUUCAGAUAGGUUGACGCUUGUUUUUUUGUACUGUGCCUCAUAUCAAUGUCUAUUUUUCUGCCCGUUAAGUCUGAGUCCAACAUGUCUGUCCGUCAGAAUUAGAUGCAAGUGCAUGCAUGUACACAUGGGAUGUGUUUGGCGGCUAGACUUUUUAAUAUAUUUCCCAGUAAAUUGAACGAUUAAGGCGUGCCUUUUGUUUUUCUUCGAAGGACCUACCAACAUUUUCUAAAGUGUGUAGAUGAUCUGAUAAUGAUUAUUUCCUAGUAGAUUGAUUUACUUAGGCUUGUACCUCAAUUACUUAGAACUUUUUCGUGCCUGUUUCUUUUUUAGCUGUGUAGAUCUGUAUAUAUUCUUCUAGCGCUACUUGGCUUUAGGCACAACCCUAUUAAAUCAAUCACAAAUCUAUUAGAUUUGUUUGUAACAUCAUUGGACUUACUGUAUGAAUUUCUGCAAUAAUUAAAUUCUCAUUUGAAAAAUAAGCAAACAUUCCAAAUAGUCUAGUUCUGGUUUCAUGACCCCUAAAGGGGCUGAGCUGAAAAAGUGUUAAUCUUAGCCGCAAUGGUGGAAGUCCAAUUAAAAUUUCAGUAAUGGACAUGCAUUAUGCACUUGCUCUGUUAUUAGAAGCAGUCUUGUGGUAGUAUGAAGUUUGUAAAAUCCUUUUUGUUAUUCUUGAUUCCUUUUUUUGCGGGGAUUAUUAUUCUUGAUUCCACAUGCUUUAUUUGGGUGAAUAAUCCAAUGUCAUGCAAAUUUGCAUAUUAAUUUCUUCAUGGCUAGAAAUAUUAAUUAGAUUAUUUAAAAGUGUAGAGUAUAGACAUACGUGAGCAUUGCUUAACUUUAUCUCCCUGUUUUGUAUCGUGUCCUUGGUGGCAAACUCAGAAUUGUAAUCUAGACAACAUUCUAAUGGUCCUUUCACCUUCUGUACCUAUACAUUGUAUGAAGAAAUAAAUUAAUUUCAUUUCUCAAUGGGCGAUACUUUGUGGAUUCCACAAACCUAAAAGUAUUAUAUGCAUCCCCGUAAAAAAGUGUUAUAUGCAUAAAUAGAAUUAUUAUUUUCUUUCUUUAUUAUAAGUGUAUCAAAUUCCUCCAGAUAAUAGCAUGAUGCUUUUAAUGUUGAUAGUAACAUGAACCGUUUUGCCAUGUGAAUGCAAACAAAAUAUAAUUAGCAUUUGCUUGUUUUAAAUUGUUGAUCUGUUGUAUGAUUGAGGUAACCCACAUUCUUUAUACUUUUACUUGAAUGUUCUAGUUUGUCCUGUUGUUGGUAAGUGCUAAGCUUCUUCAACACCAUAGUUUUUUGGCUAUGAAAAGAUUCUGCAAUUUUUAGUCAGCUAUCUAUGUAGCUUUUAUUCUGAAAAUUGAAUUAAUUAAUUCAUAAUAUUUACGAACCUGAUUCAGGUGAGAGGCAACUCAGAAGACCUGUCCUGACUUCAUCGGGCAUUGAGAUGCAGUCACAUCAGAGUUUUGGCAUUUUUUGUCUUCAAUUUUGUUGUGGUGCUUUAGUCGGAUAGCAGAUUUGUUCUGUAGUCUUCGAUUCUAUUGGUGAUUCUCUUGCCGGGUAGCAGAUUCUGGAAGACAACCUGAUUCAGGUGAGAGGCAACUCAGAAGACCUGUCCUGACUUCAUCGGGCAUUGAGAUGCAGUCACAUCGGAGUUUUGGCAUUUUUUGUCUUCAAUUUUGUUGUGGUGCUUUAGUCAGAUAGCAGAUUUGUUUUGUAGUCUUCGAUUCUGUUGGUGAUUCUCUUGCCGGGUAGCAGAUUCUGGAAGACAACCUGAUUCAGGUGAGAGGCAAUUCAGAAGACCUGUCCUGACAUCAUCGGGCAUUGAGAUGCAGUCACAUCAGAGUUUUGGCAUUUUUUGUCUUCAAUUUUGUUGUGGUGCUUUAGUCAGAUAGCAGAUUUGUUCUGUAGUCUUCGAUUCUGAUGGUGAUGCUCUUGCCGGGUAGCAGAUUCUGGAAGACUUCAAUUUUCUCGAUGGUGCUCUGAUCGGGUAGCAGAUUUAAAGACAUUGAUUUGUCCAGAAUUGGUUGAUUCAACUCUUGGGGUUGGAUGUGGGGCUGGGUGCCUUUCUGAUUUGUUGGCUUGGCCGAUCCAUGUAGAGUUUCUCUUUAUCAAGACUUCAUGUGGAAUUUCCUUUCCUGAAGACUCCAUGUGGAGAGUCCGACUGUAGUUAUCCUUGUUUUUUUCCCUUCCAUGAAGACUCCACGGUUGUAGUUAUCCUUGUUUUCUUUUGGCAUGCACAUGCCUAGUUUGGAAUUAGAUGCACGUGAGGUUAUGUAUCUUCUAUGACGUGAUUAC
rnacentral:lncRNA from 1 species